rnacentral:rRNA from 1 species
CAGUCGCCGCGGGAAUACAGAGGGUGCGAGCGUUAAUCGGAUUUACUGGGCGUAAAGCGUGCGUAGGCGGCUUCUUAAGUCGGAUGUGAAAUCCCUGAGCUUAACUUAGGAAUUGCAUUCGAUACUGGGAAGCUAGAGUAUGGGAGAGGAUGGUAGAAUUCCAGGUGUAGCGGUGAAAUGCGUAGAGAUCUGGAGGAAUACCGAUGGCGAAGGCAGCCAUCUGGCCUAAUACUGACACUGAGGUACGAAAGCAUGGGGAGCAAACAGGAUUAGAUACCCCUGUAGUCCCUGUCUCUUAUAC